rnacentral:rRNA from 1 species
GUGCCAGCCGCCGCGGUAAUACAGAGGGUGCGAGCGUUAAUCGGAUUUACUGGGCGUAAAGCGUGCGUAGGCGGCUUCUUAAGUCGGAUGUGAAAUCCCUGAGCUUAACUUAGGAAUUGCAUUCGAUACUGGGAAGCUAGAGUAUGGGAGAGGAUGGUAGAAUUCCAGGUGUAGCGGUGAAAUGCGUAGAGAUCUGGAGGAAUACCGAUGGCGAAGGCAGCCAUCUGGCCUAAUACUGACGCUGAGGUACGAAAGCAUGGGGAGCAAACAG